rnacentral:rRNA from 1 species
UACGUAGGGUGCGAGCGUUGUCCGGAAUUAUUGGGCGUAAAGAGCUCGUAGGCGGUUUGUCGCGUCUGCUGUGAAAACUCGGGGCUUAACUCCGGGCCUGCAGUGGGUACGGGCAGACUAGAGUGCGGUAGGGGAGACUGGAAUUCCUGGUGUAGCGGUGAAAUGCGCAGAUAUCAGGAGGAACACCGGUGGCGAAGGCGGGUCUCUGGGCCGUAACUGACGCUGAGGAGCGAAGGCUAGGGGAGCAAACGGG